UACGUAGGGGGCAAGCGUUGUCCGGAAUCAUUGGGCGUAAAGAGCGUGUAGGCGGCCCGGUAAGUCCGCUGUGAAAACUCGAGGCUCAACCUCGAGACGCCGGUGGAAACCAUCAGACUAGAGUCCGGAAGAGGAGAGUGGAAUUCCGUGGUGUAGCGGUGAAAUGCGCAGAUAUCAGGAAGAACACCCGUGGCUAAGGCGGCUCUCUAGUACGGUACUGACGCUGAGACGCGAAAGCGUGGGGGAGCGAACAGG
rnacentral:rRNA from 1 species